CACAGCCCUGCCCUAACACCACAGCCCUGCGUCCACACCACAGCCCUGCGUCCACACCACAGCCCUGCGUCCACACCACAGCCCUGCGUCCACGCCGCCCCAGCUCCACUCAGGGCCUCGGGAGGGACCAGCGGUUGAGUGUGUUUCUUUUAUUUGAAAGCAGAGGUUACCCCCGACUCUGACGAUAGUAAACCCAAAAGGUUCUGUGUGAUCCAGUAAGGCCUCAGGCCCAAGCCCAGAGCCAAGUGACUCCCCGAGGGCCGGCCUCCACGCAGCAGGGCCUGGGCGUACUGCUGAGCCGGGAGCCGGGAGCACCCAGGGCCGGGCUGGGACUGGGCCCUGGGACAACGGAGCUCGUGCCUUACCCAGCCAGGGGUCUCGGGCACGGGGGCUGCCUGGCACCCUGGACUGCCCGCCUGGCACCCCUGGACUGCCCCCCUGGAACCCUGGAAUGCCCGCCUGGCACCUUGGGCUGCCCGCCUGGCACCUUGGACUGCCCGCCUGGUACUCUCGGCUGCCCACCUGGCACCCCUGGACUGUCUGCCUGACACCCUGGACUGCCCACCUGACACCCCGGACUGCCCGCACGGCUGGUCGUCCUGGUCCGGCUCUCACGCUGGUGCCACCCCUGCAUGCACCUGGCACCCACCCGAGGAGGGGUCCUGGCAUGUCCCCAGGCACCUCAGCUUGCAUCUACUUUCCAGUGACCUGGCACCCGGAUUCCUCUGGGGACGGCCCGUUACAGACCCCCCAAACCACGGGAGCCAGACAGGCUGGAGCCCCGAUGCCCGUUCUUGCUCCCCAGCUCGGCCCCUACGCGCUCAGCUGGGCUGGAACAGGGAUUUUAACAAA